UGUAAUUUGUAGAGGAUGCUUUUGGUGAGGUGCCNCCCGAGUUCCCUGGAACGGGACGCCACAGAGGGUGAGAGCCCCGUCUGGCUGGCCACCGAGCCUCUGUAAAGCUCCUUCGACGAGUCGAGUAGUUUGGGAAUGCUGCGGGGGGGGGGGGGGGGAUAUGUCUUCUAAAGCUAAAUAUUGNCCAGAGACCGAUAGCGCACAAGUAAAGUGAUCGAAAGAUGAAAAGCACCUUGAAAAGAGGGUUAAACAGUACGUGAAAUUGUUGAAAGGGAAGCGCUUGUGACCAGACUUGGGCGCGGCGAAUCAUCCGGGGUUCUCUCCGGUGCACUUCACCGUGUUCAGGCCAGCAUCNGUUCGG
rnacentral:rRNA from 1 species